GUGGGGAAUAUUGGACAAUGGGCGAAAGCCUGAUCCAGCCAUGCCGCGUGUGUGAAGAAGGUCUUCGGAUUGUAAAGCACUUUAAGUUGGGAGGAAGGGCAGUAAGUUAAUACCUUGCUGUUUUGACGUUACCGACAGAAUAAGCACCGGCUAACUUCGUGUCAGCAGCCGCGGUAAUACGAAGGGUGCAAGCGUUAAUCGGAAUUACUGGGCGUAAAGCGCGCGUAGGUGGUUUUGUAAGUUGGAGGUGAAAUCCCCGGGCUCAACCUGGGAACUGCCUCCAAAACUGCAUGACUAGAGUACGGUAGAGGGUAGUGGAAUUUCCUGUGUAGCGGUGAAAUGCGUAGAUAUAGGAAGGAACACCAGUGGCGAAGGCGACUACCUGGUCUGAUACUGACACUGAGGUGCGAAAGCGUGGGGAGCAAACAGGAUUAGAAACCCUGGUAGUCC
rnacentral:rRNA from 1 species